ensembl:lncRNA
AAAGUAAAAGGGAAAAGUAGAUCCGAUAACUUUUAAAAACAUAGCUCAUCCCUUACCAUCCAAGGGGGCGCUCCCUUGGUUGGAUUUUCUGUGACAGCACAGGGGACAGGUGGCACACCAUGAGAGGUCUGCCCAGGGUGGGAGCAGUGUCCCUGUGCUAGCAAUAGUUGGCUUCUUCCCUGCCAGUGGAAACCCCACUUCUGCCCGGCCCUUGAGCUUCUUGCCCACUGUCUCCCCAUCCUUCCACCUACUUGUGGCGAUCUGAGUAUUCUUGCUCAAGAAGUAAUACGACAAUCAGAAUACAAACCAGUAAGGCAACACGAAUAAACUAAGAAAAAGGUAAGAACUGUCUCUCAAAAACGAAAGCACACCACCCAAGACACAGUACCCAGUCAUGGUUUUCCCAUCCAACUAUUAGUUUCAUACUUUGAAAACUUACUUUCAGAUUAUUCUCAAAGAACACAGUAGCACCUAAAUCUGUUUUCAAUUGGGCUUAAAAAUUGACAUGCAAUCUCUUAAGUUUUUUGUUCAGCUACUUCACAUUGAAUACAUCAAAUCUGCUCUGGAGUCGAUUAUAUGCCACCUGUGUGUCAGGAUGUACGUGAAAGCCCUCGGCUCGGUCCUUGGACCAUCUUCCUACAUUACCUGGAAGGGAGCUGCCAUCUGUCCCUCUGCAGAGGGAUACCUUCCAAUAGUAAAUUAUCUGGUUCUUCAUCGAAACAAGUUAUUUUUGUUUCAUACAGUCAGAGCCAGACUGACAUGAUAAAAUAUCAUGUUCCUAAUCCAUUGUCUCAGAGAAGUGACCAAGACGGGAUUUUUCCACAUUUUAGUCUAUAUUCUAAUCUUAAAGGAAUAAAGCACUGAAUUGGGAAUAACAUUUGAUAGGUUGCACCCUUAAGAGUAUUCAGAGAGCAUCAAAAGGAGCCCACACCUUCAGCAGCGAAGGAUUCUAACAGGGAAUCUGCAGUUUGUAGCAGAACGGUAUUUUCCUCAAGUAGCUCAUAAUACUGCCAAAUCUCAAAAAUUAAGCUGAAUUUCAAUUACUACCCCUUUCCCUGAGCCACGUGUUUCACACAAGUGUAGAAAAUUCCAGGGAUCCACCACAAGAUGGAGAUGGUCAGCACAAACCGAUUCUGUUCCUCUUUAAAGUGUAUAUUAGCCACUUAGCAAUCUCUAUAUUCUUUCAAGUAACCAAGCUGUUGACUUUCUUACUACUUGGAGUAGCCUGUCCCCAACUUUUCGAUCCAGUGCUUAACCUAAAAAACUCCUUAACUCUGCCUUGACCUGAGGAAGACCAUGCUAAUUGGUGUUAUUUUGUAUGUACCCUGUGCUUAAUUCUAGAACAGUAAACCCAUACACAGGUGGGAGGGAGGAACACCAGUGCCUCGGUCACUCUGGGGGCAGUUUAGAUGCUGUGAAAUUAAACCUGUUCUAAGUGUACUUGUUUGAAUUAAUUGUAUUGUAAUAUUAUUUGUUGAAUGUAGUAAUUAGGUAUUUAUGAAUAUAUUGCUGUAAUUUCUGACAACAUCCAAAAAAUAAAAUCUUCCU